rnacentral:rRNA from 1 species
UACGUAGGGUGCAAGCGUUGUCCGGAAUUAUUGGGCGUAAAGAGCUCGUAGGCGGUUUGUCGCGUCUGCUGUGAAAUCCGGAGGCUCAACCUCCGGCCUGCAGUGGGUACGGGCAGACUAGAGGUAGGUAGGGGAGAAUGGAAUUCCCGGUGUAGCGGUGAAAUGCGCAGAUAUCGGGAGGAACACCGGUGGCGAAGGCGGUUCUCUGGGCCUUACCUGACGCUGAGGAGCGAAAGCGUGGGGAGCGAACAGG